AGAAGUUCGGUUAAUAUGUUCGCGGACAAUUCGAUACUUGUAAGCAGACUGAUAAAGUCAAGAUCGUUUUACGAGCCUGUUGAAAUCCAACACUGAGAAGUUGAAAAUUAAUGAUUGAUUGAAUUGACAUUGAUUGGAAUAAAACGUUACAGCAAGGAGUAACUGAAGGAUAUAACGAUCGAGACGUCUGAAACGACCUUCAAACAAUGAAUGUAAAACCACAUAUAACACUGGCAUCGUUACACCCAACAAGCGUUUAACAAGUGGCGCAAAUUGAUCGAAGUCGGAUCAAUUAAACGAGCCAAUAAAAUGAUCUUUCCUCAGUAACCUUGGCUAAUUAAUACUUAAGCAUAAAAACCACCAAGUUUUUAUCUUCAAAUUCUACACUAAUGAGAGUUCAAACUACACCCCGAAACCAUAGUGGUAACAGAUCUUGUAACGGCAGACAAUUAAAAGUAUCGAAAACUAAAGAA